rnacentral:rRNA from 1 species
GACGAACGCUGGCGGCGUGCUUAACACAUGCAAGUCGAACGGAAAGGCCCUGCUUUUGUGGGGUGCUCGAGUGGCGAACGGGUGAGUAACACGUGAGUAACCUGCCCUUGACUUUGGGAUAACUUCAGGAAACUGGGGCUAAUACCGGAUAGGAGCUCCUGCUGCAUGGUGGGGGUUGGAAAGUUUCGGCGGUUGGGGAUGGACUCGCGGCUUAUCAGCUUGUUGGUUGGGUAGUGGCUUACCAAGGCUUUGACGGGUAGCCGGGCUGAGAGGGUGACCGGCCACAUUGGGACUGAGAUGCGGCACAGACUCCUACGGGAGGCAAGGGUGGAGAAUAGUGCACAAUGGGCGGAAGCCUAAUGCGGCAACGCCGCGUGCGGGAUGACGGCCUUCGGGUUGUAAACCGCUUUCGCCUGUGACGAAGCGUGAGUGACGGUAAUGGGUAAAGAAGCACCGGCUAACUACGUG